GCUUGUUGUGACGUGACGCGCGUGACUGUAGCAGCCCGAGCCAGAUGCCGCGCGCAGGUGAGCGAGGUGUGCCCGGGGAAAAGUCGACGAUCUCCUGCAGUCGUUUGGAGUAAGACUCAAGCAAGCGUCCAGAGUUUCAGUCAAUAAAAGGUAUGUAUUAUUUAUACAAAAUAAUCUUGUGGUAUUCAGAAAAAUGUAUUUGAAAAUAGAAAACAUAUAAGUGGCAUUAAUGACUGAUAAAUACUUAUAGGCCAACACGUGGUUCCAAUACAAUGGAACCUAUUUUGACAAGAUAUUCCUUGUAGAGCAUGCAGGGCAUAGACAAGUCCUGACCUAGGCAACAAUACAUUAUUUAUUGUCACAGGAAUGCUGAAUAAUUUGUAAAUAUUCCAGUUUAAACAAAAAAAGUUAUUGAAACAGAUCUGUAGUUUUAGCCUUGAGUUUGAGACUUUGUAGCCUUUUAAACAUCGUUUGUUUUCCUUCCCACGUUGUUACAAAUGUUUUGUUUUUUUGUCGUUUUCUUUUCGUUUUAUUCAACCUUCUGAGCCAUAUGAGUAGGUCUACUGGUAGUCUAAUGAUGUUAUUACAGUCAUUUAUGUUAUUGCACAAUAGGCAUUACUGCCACUGUUGUUAUUAAUGAUUGUUUAAUAACAAUAUGAUAAUAGCAAAACGAUUGAAUGAUAAUAUCUAUGAUCGUUGACCGUUCAGCAACUCUUCUUCUCUCUCUCUAUUCGUGUUCCAUGUUCUAAUCCUCGUGGACUUGGGCGCAUGGGAACAUGAAGAGACCACAGACUUUCUCCGCAACAAUAAAGACUAAACAACUCCCCAAAUCACGAGUAAUUGCGCGCUGGGAGACGGUUGGCGUUCACCGCUGUUCAGCUGUUCCUCCGGGAGGCGAGCUGGGGCUUCUCUACAGCGGCCGGCCGGGGCAAAGACUGUGGGCCAGUGGCGGGCGAUGACACACAUGCCAAUGCUGUUCCACCUGCGUCAGCUCUCAUAGCACGGAAAUACCAUCCAGGAGAAAGCCGACGGGACCCACAUGGGUGGCCAGGGAAGUGUAUACCCCUUUCAUACACCUCCAUCACAACGCCUGCUAAUUAAGCGGCACUAUCAAUCCAGGUUUUCUGCGGCUGCUGCGGACAAGCGGUCACUAGCUAAUGAGGCUUUAGCCUGCAGUCAGACGGAAUGCAGUAACACGUUGAGGUAAAUCUGAAUGUAUAGGCCGAGGCUAUUUACUUACAAUAGCUGAAAAUACUAUUUAUAUCAGGUCUACCUUGUCUUAUAAAUUGGACAAUAUGGAAAAUUGCAGUAAAUAAAACAACAAAAAUAUGAUCAGUUAUGAAUAGCCUAUAGGAUAUUAUUUUGUACAAACUAUAAGUCAACAUAAAUACGGGACGUAACAGUGAUUUUGUCAAUCAUAACGGUGUCCCAUGCAACAUUAACACGUGCCUUGAAUGGCAUUGAAAUUCCCGAAAUGAAUUACAGUACCUUGAAAUUCUCUUCCUCUUAAUCAUUUAUUUUUGACACACAAACUUUUCUCUAAGUUGUUUUCCUAUUCACUUGCAAUGAGUGCUAUCUUGUCUAAACCCCACUCUAACACAUGUCAUUUUUGAAACUUGUGUGAACAGGAAAAUGUAUUUGAUCAUGUUAAGUGGGUAGACGAGAGAUUCCUCACCACGCAGCUGUAAACCAACAGAGGCGGAACUCGUCCAAUGCGCACAAAUCACAGAGCAGUACGUCGCACGACGCACUGGAGAACCACCGCCACUAGUAGGCCUACCGUCUGCCUGUGGAAAAAAAACGAAAAGGGCUGGGCUUAGAGAGGAAUCAAACCACAACCUGGGCUGCGCCUCCAUCACAAACCAGUUUGGAAGAACGUUUGUUCCAGAGGAGAGUCUAGUGCCUAACAAGUCACCAACUGUGGCUCAAAACACGGAUUUCUCUGCGCGCUCAACGUUAAGGAGGCAGCCGCAGAGUUUUGUUUUGAAGUACAUCUUGAGGUGCUACGGCUAAUAUAAUUGUCUGCAAGUGUAGUUAAUCGCGUUUGUUGUUCUGUAUUUGUGCUGUAUUUG
ensembl:lncRNA